rnacentral:misc_RNA from 1 species
AACGCACAUUGCGCCCUUUGGUAUUCCGAAGGGCAUGCCUGUUCGAGCGUCAUUAUCACCCCUCAAGCCCCGUGCUUGGUGUUGGACGGCCGGUCGAGGGCCCCCUCGACCCCUCCUAAAGACAACGACGGCGGCCUGUGGUUCCCCCGGUACACUGAGCUUCUUACCGAGCACGUACCGGACGAGGGCACCCAGGACCCGGUCUUCUCCUCUCACGAGGAAAUUUUUUCAAGGUUGACCUCGGAUCAGGUAGGAAUACGCGCUGAACUUAA